GCUGAACGCUGGCGGCGUGCCUAAUACAUGCAAGUCGAGCGAACGGACGAGAAGCUUGCUUCUCUGAUGUUAGCGGCGGAAGGGUGAGUAACACGUGGAUAACCUACCUAUAAAACUGGGAUAACUUCGGGAAACCGGAGCUAAUACCGGAUAAUAUUUUGAACCGCAUGGUUCAAAAGUGAAAGCCCGUCUUGCUGUCACUUACACAUGGACCCGCGCUGCAUUAGCUAGUUGGUAAGGUAACGGCUUACCAAGGCAACGAUGCAUAGCCGACCUGAGAGGGUGAUCGGCCACACUGGAACUGAGACACGGUCCAGACUCCUACGGGAGUCAGCAGUAGGGAAUCGUCCGCAAUGGGCGAAGGCCUGACGGAGCAACGCCGCGUGAGUGAUGAAGGUCUUCGGAUCGUAAAACUCUGUUAUUAGGGAAGAACAUAUGUGUAAGUAACUGUGCACAUCUUGACGGUACCUAAUCAGAAAGCCACGGCUAACUACGUG
rnacentral:rRNA from 1 species